rnacentral:rRNA from 1 species
UACGUAGGGUGCAAGCGUUGUCCGGAAUUAUUGGGCGUAAAGAGCUUGUAGGCGGUUUGGCGCGUCUGCUGUGAAAUUUCGGGGCUCAACCCCGAACUUGCAGUGGGUACGGGCAGACUAGAGUGUGGUAGGGGAGACUGGAAUUCCUGGUGUAGCGGUGAAAUGCGCAGAUAUCAGGAGGAACACCGAUGGCGAAGGCAGGUCUCUGGGCCACUACUGACGCUGAGGCGCGACAGCGUGGGGAGCAAACAGG